rnacentral:rRNA from 1 species
AACGAACGCUGGCGGCAGGCCUAACACAUGCAAGUCGAGCGAAGCCUUCGGGCUUAGCGGCGGACGGGUGAGUAACGCGUGGGAACGUGCCCUUUGGUACGGAAUAGCCCCGGGAAACUGGGAGCAAUACCGCAUGUGGUCGAGAGACGAAAAAUUUAUCGCCAAAGGAUCGGCCCGCGUUGGAUUAGGGAGUUGGUGGGGUAAUGGCCUACCAAGCCGAUGAUCCAUAGCUGGUUGGAGAGGAUGAUCAGCCACACUGGGACUGAGACACGGCCCAGACUCCUACGGGAGGCAGCAGUGGGUAAUCUUAGACAAUGGGGGAAACCCUGAUCUAGCCAUGCCGCGUGAUCGAUGAAGGCCUUAGGGUUGUAAAGAUCUUUCAGUGGGGAAGAUAAUGACUGUACCCACAGAAGAAGCCCCGGCUAACUCCGUGCCAGCAGCCGCCGUAAGAC